GACGAACGCUGGCGGCGUGCUUAACACAUGCAAGUCGAACGGAAAGGCCCUGCUUUUGUGGGGUGCUCGAGUGGCGAACGGGUGAGUAACACGUGAGUAACCUGCCCUUGACUUUGGGAUAACUUCAGGAAACUGGGGCUAAUACCGGAUAGGAGCUCCUGCGGCAUGGUGGGGGUUGGAAAGUUUCGGCGGUUGGGGAUGGACUCGCGGCUUAUCAGCUUGUUGGUGGGGUAGUGGCUUACCAAGGCUUUGACGGGUAGCCGGCCUGAGAGGGUGACCGGCCCCAUUGGGACUGAGAUACGGCCCAGACUCCUACGGGAGGCAGCAGUGGGGAAUAUUGCACAAUGGGCGGAAGCCUGAUGCAGAAACGCCGCGUGCGGGAUGACGGCCUUCGGGUUGUAAACCGCUUUCGCCUGUGACGAAGCGUGAGUGACGGUAAUGGGUAAAGAAGCACCGGCUAACUACGUG
rnacentral:rRNA from 1 species